AUGGUCUUGGAAAUCACAAUGGCUACUAUAACUUCUGGUUUGCAAGAGGAAAUAACAUCUUCUUUCAUCUCAGGUUUGACAUCAACUGCUGCAACCUUGCUCUUUACAUGUCUUUAUGUGCUGAUAUGGCAUAGAAAGGGGAAAAGACUGAGGUUCAUUUGCAAGAAAACUAGCAGUAACACUGAAAAGAAUUAUGAGGUCAUGAUAGUAUCCCAUGGACCCCUAGCUCCAACAAGAUACAAGUACUCAGAGGUAAUGAAGAUAACAUCUUCUCGCAACAAUCAGCUAGGAGAAGGUGGUUAUGGUGUGGUUUUUAAAGGAUGA
rnacentral:rRNA from 1 species